ensembl:lncRNA
GGGCAGAGACAGAGUUUACUUUAUUGUCUGAAGAGGAAAAUCCUGUCUGGAAACCAUUUCUUCCUAGCACUGCCUGCACUGCACGCUCUCCCCUUCAAAACACAUCUUGAGAAAAAUUUGACAAAGAGUUCUUCUUACACAAGUUACAUGGAUGUUGCUGUGCUACAAGAAAAAUACUUAUUUGGAGACAGACUGCAUCCAUUGUCUGUUGUGACUCAGUAAAGGGCUGUUCAGAGAGGGCUGCAAACUUCCUUUCCUCAAGGAGCGGUGCACUAUUGCUUGCUUCGGAUGCACACGUAUUUCCUGGGCCUCCUCCAAAAUGUCUCCCUGCUCAAACAGACUGUUAAUGACUGUUCCCAGCACUGCCCAAGUCUUUAGCAGACUUCUGACUCCCUUUGCAAGAUUAUAACCUUGAAACAAAGCUUGUGAGGUAGAGGAAAAAAGAGGGCAUCUUCUAUGGCAGUUACUAAGAGCGGUUUUACAGAGAAGACAGUAAGAACUUUCAACUAGGCUCAGCCAGCAAGAGAGAAAUCCCUGAGAGAAGCAAAAAUCACUCACGGCUGCAUCCCAGAGACACCACUGAACAUCUUGCGAUUGGUUUUGUUGGGGCAAGAGUGCACUCUGUCAGCUUAACCUGGAGCUGAUCUACAAGUUCCCAGGUCACAGAACACGCAGCCAAGCACAGCCCUGCCCCAGCCAUGCUGUGACAGACAUUCAGGAUGGAAGGCUAAACCAGUCUUUGUCUCCCUCACUGGCUGUGAGUGGUAUGUUCAAUAUUCCUGUCAAAUACAUACGCUGUGCAGAACAUCCAAGGGUUUGCAGACGUUGUGUUAUUUUGAAUCAACUUAUUAUCCUUAUUAGACCCCGAGGAUCAUCAUUGCUGGUCCUGAAUAAUUCUCUGGGGAGCACAGCCAAAUGCAGUCAUUUAGAAAGCAACACUUUCCUGCUUCCUGCAUGUGUAUUCAUAUCAACAACUAUCGGUAAGCUCUACAAACUGGGGAGUAUAAACAGAUCAUUUCAGAGGAAGAUUUCAUUCUAUGAAUGACUUCUGUUUCAAUCUACAAAGGUGUUGUUUUUACAUAAAGUCUCUGUGCAACACAUGCCGAUAUUUCACGCUUAGGUUUCUGUUGCAGUCCAUUUCUUGGGGACUAUGAAAUGAUAGUACUGGAUUAAACUUCACUGCUUCUAAGGCACCUAGUUUCUAUCUGCUAUUGCAUAGAUAAGGGAUGGUGAGAGACUCAUAACAAGAAAAACCAAAAAACUUUAUAAUAAGCUUGUAUUAAAGUGGUCUGUUUGGCUUUCACAUGUGGUUAAAGUCAGAAAUUUGCUCAUAACCAGAAGCAAAUAUAAGCUCACUACCACCACUAAGUGCCAGAGGCCAACUAAUGUGGUAAUGUGAAAAACUCUGAAUGUUGAGGGAUACAGUUUGAGCAUUAAGGAUGGCAAGAACCAGCCUUGGAGCAUCUGGUUCUGUCACUAUUCUGUAGUAGCAAGAACUGUCACAAACUCAAGGAUGAAGUUCUUCAUGGGCCAAUUAAACCACACCCUGAAGGGAGAAACGUGUGAUAGCAGUGAAAAAUCUUGACGUACAUCCCUAUUAUGAGAAGAAAUAUAACAUGGCACUGUGCAUGCACUAAUCAUUCAUACCAGCACAGAAGAAUACUAGGCUGAACAAAUCAUGAGAUUGAGAAAAUAAGGGAAGUGAAUAGUCUUUUUUUUUUAAAUCACUGGGAUUAUAAAAACCACUUACUUUACUUUAGAUUUAUAUUUAAAUGUUUUGCUGAAGUAAGGUCUUUCGUACCCUAUAUUGACAGAUUGUUUAGGAAUUAUUUAAGUAUAUGGUUUAAAGCAUUUAAAUUAUUUUAUCAGUAGUCAAAAUAUAUCCCAUUUGUAUUUGAUCAUUUCAACUCUCAUUCUUUUACUUUCCAGAUUUCUGCAUUCACUGUUAAUAACCAUAAUUUGUCUUCUGAUACAACCAAGUCAUUAGGAAAUAUAUCUAUGGAUUUGAUCUUUAAAUAAAAUUAGCACAUUACUCUUGUCUGUUUGAGCUAAUCAAAAAGAUUAUUUUAGCCUCUCUGUUUAAUGAAGAAAAGUAUAUUGCAGAAGCAUAUGACCAUGGUUCAAAGCCAGGGAAGACACAGACAAAUGAUGGUAGCUUUCAGACACAUUGCCCUAAUUUCAUUCUUGCAACACCACUGUCUAUGAAUUUGGAAAGAAAUGCACAUCGAAUCCAGAAUACGUUUUUACACAACAUUAUGUAAUCCAAACAAUUGCAACAAUGGAAUAGACUUAAAAGCCUAAAUCUAUUGUAAAGCUGUAGAAGCUCAGGAAUUUCUAAGAAAUUUACCCAGAUUUACAGGAUAUUGUAAUCAAAUCAUAUAGCAACUAUGUUUGAAUUAACCUUUCAUAAACAUGUCUUGAACCUACAUCAUGCAAUUCAGUAUGGCUGAGUUGGCCAUAGCAAUUUCAUAGGACAUUUGUCCGAUGUUUAUAAAGUGUAAGUUUUUGUUUGUUUGUUUAAAGGAACUGUUUUGUCUGUCGAUAGGUUCUAGAAAUACAUAGCACAAAGGUUUAUAUUUUUUGUCCAAUAAAUGUCCAGUCAACCCAGGAAAACCAGGACAAGUCCAGAAGGAUGAGAAAGAAACCCACUUCAUAAUAUUCCACUGUGGUUAAGGUACUCUUCCACAAGCAUCCUAUUCCUAUAAAGUGGAAAGGUAUUCCCUUAAACUAGAAAGAAAAACAAAAUAAAACAAAAUGUUCUGUUGUUAACAAAGAAGAAUAGUACAAGAUAGAAUAUAUAUAUAUAUAGGGUAUUGACACUAAACCUCCCUAUUUAUCUCAAAUUUUUUAAAACAAAAAAUUAAAAAUCAGUACAUAGGCUUUCCAUAUUAAAAAUAUCACUUCCACUUGUGAUUAUUCUCUAAUUUUUACUCAGAUUUGAAAAUGGUAUCUCUUUGGCCAAAGCAACAUGCUUCAUACAGAACUAUGAACUUCUGUUAGCCAGAGAAGAUAGCUGCAUUCCCCUAACUUGAAAGUGAUGAGGCAUUACAAUAACUGAAUUUGUGCAACUUGAAUUACCCAAAUUACCCAAAAACUAAGAAGAUUUUUUAUAUCUAGAUGUUAAUUGGCAGAUAGUUGGAAGAGUGGAAGAAUUCAAGGUAAACUUCAGAUGUAAAAACUGAUAGAACCCAAAGGACAACAAAAUACCUCCCAAACUUCAUAUCCAGACACCUCAUCCUUCCCUCUCAAAAAUCCUGACUCUCACGAAACAGCACAUAUUCACACUGCAUAAAAUCACGUAGUUAGUCUUGCAGAUCAUCAUCUGUAAUGCUCUGAGAAUGCCAUGGUAUUUCUGCCACCACGUUCUGUGAUCUGGUAUGGAAGUGUGUGAGACAAGUUUGCAAUUUUGAAUAUUUUUUGUGUAUGAGGCUCUGUAGCAAGCAUGCUUAUAUCCCGGUACAAGCAUUUUGUAAUUCAUAUCGUUGCAUUGUCCUUCAUUUUCACUCCACACGUUUCUUAGCACUGAUAAUUUUUCUGAGAAGUCUAAGAAAUAAGAUAUGCCUCCCACAUUGUGACAAAGAGUGUCUAAGUGCAAUUCUGUGUCCUCUGUUAGCUGUGAUUUGAAAUGGCAUCUCCCUUUUGUUCCAUCACAGCAAACUUGUGGUAAAUCUUCACUCUUGCAUCAGUCUUAAGUUAGCCCAUUUGCAAUGCACAAACAGCAGCUUCUCCACUUAGCAUAGCUCAUUUUGACUGAAGAUGAGUCACAUCUACCCAAAAGUUCAGUAGUGGCUAUGCAUUUGACAGCAAAACUUUGGAAGCUUUUAGGGAAUUUCCUCACUGUUCCUCUGUAUUCUUUGUCCUAACAACUGCUGUUUUAUUCCUCUUUAUUUUAUUAGUUAUUAUCAGAUGAUAGAACUAUAAUAGUUCAGACCUGGGAGAGGUUGAAUUUUACAUUAUGGCAAAUAUUAAUAAUAUAAGAUGUUUUUGUGCUAUUUGAUUGGAAGAAUAACAGAACAUUUCAAAGAGCUCAAACUCCCCUAGGGUUUACAUACUUGAAAAUAACUGUAUCUCUGAAUUGCCAAAAGGGGAACAAGGGCAAACAACAAACCUUCAAAUUAAUAUUACAUUGGCAGCAGGUUUUUACAGACUACUAUCAGGGCUGUGUGCUGACUCCCUGGCUUAAUGAACAGCUUGAUUUAAAGCUUAAAAUUAUUAAGUGUUCCACCAGAGUCAUAAAUAAUGCAGUUUAUAAUAUUCAGAUUGAGCACAUAAAACUACAUUUGUCUUCCAUUAACAACGCACUUUUUAAGUAGCCUGACCUCUUCAGAUAUAUAAGAACAUGCAAUUAGUGCAAUUUGUCACAGGUCCUUUACAUUUUAAUAAGAUGUAAUUAAUUGUCUGUUUAGUCUAAUUAACUUUGAAACCCUGACAGUUCUUGCUCUCUAGUAUAAAGCAAGCUCCUUAUUUGAAUUGCUAAUAUUGGACAGAGAGUCUCCAAACCACAGUAAAUUCAAAUCUGUGUACCUUUGCAGAUUAAGAGACACUGGACUAACCUACUAAUAUUUGCAUUAACUUUUUCUAAAGUCAUUUUCAGCAAUCUGUGCCAACACAUCUGCGUCAAUAAAAUAUGGGAGUCAAUGUUUGUGAAACAGACAGAGUAGAGUUUCAUUAAUGAACCCACAAUGGUUCUACGUCAGUCAUACUACCCAACUAUGUUUCAUACAUGAUUUAAGAAAUGAAUUAUGGACUCUGCUGGGGAUGUAAAGUCAUUAAGCCCUUUCAAGUUACUCUGCUCAUCAGGGAAAGAUAUUGGCUGCAUGGAAGUAACACUGAACAGAUUUAACUGCUAAAAGCUUUAGAACUCUGAUUUUUUCUUUUCCCUCCAAGCUGUAUUAGAUUAUGAGAAUGUAUCUUGAUUUUAAUGCAAAUUUUUUACUUUAAAAUACAAUGAGUUCUCCCUUGAUGAUUUUAAAUGCUUAGAGGAUUGUAUUUGCCAUGAUAAAUUGCACUUAGUUCAACUGAAUAGCAAAGGGCAGACUCUGAAAUACUGUCCUCUUUUAAAUAAAAUCAUUCUCUGUAAAUGAUCCUGCAGAAGUUAAUGAUCCUCUUCAGAACCACAGAAACAAGAGAAUGCGAGAAUGUGUACAGAAAAACGCAUGUGGAAAGAACAAACCAUUCAGUGAAGUGUUGAUACAUGUUCAAAAAGAGCAUAUAUAAUACAUUCAAUGGAAGUUUUAGCAAGUUGAAAUAAUAUUUUAUUUCUUAUUCUGAAAACAGGAAUAAUUUCACAGUCUGAGCCUUGUUGCAUGACCCUCACAGAAUGCCAAGUAAGGGGAUAUAUAAAUCUCGCCUGCUAUAACACAGACACUGACAGGGACAGAAUGAGCACCAAAGCAAAUAUGAGGUAGAAAUGAUUUUUUAUUACUUUAGGUAUUUCCAGAUGUCAGAUAAAAAUGAGAACAUUGCUAAAAAUUUUACAGAGUGACAGCUGUGCCUUAUGGAUAACAUUCUAUAGUUUGAUGUAUGAGGCAGAAAAUGUGAAAAAUAUUGUGAAGUACCACCUUGACAUGAUGAUGGAAUGCCAAAGGAAGCAUGCUCACUCUAGAGGAAUGUAAUAGACCACUGUUAAAUAAAAGAAGGAAGCUUCAUGUCCAGCAAAAGAAAGGAACAUCAAACACAGUCUUCAGAAGACUGAAAGUUGCAAAAACUUUGUUUCUUUUUAUGCAGCAACCCAAGUUCUGAUGUUUUGUUUGAGCAAGAUUAUCCCCCAGAGUUUCAAUAGUUGCGGAGGACUUUGCAAACAUAGUAUGCCUUUUACAAAACAACAACAACAAAAAUGCAGCCACUCCAGCUUUACAAAAUUUAUAGCAGAGACUAUUACAACAGACUGUAUUUUCUAAAAGCGUUCAAAGUAUAGCACAGGAAGGCUCAAUAAGCAGUAGUUAUGUGGCUAAAGCAAUUUAAAAUAACUCUUAUAGCCUCAUUUAUCAAAAUCUGCUCCAAGCCAGACAAUAAACAGUGAAAAGUUGGAAAUGAAUAAGUACCAAAUCUACUUAACAUGCUGCUAAAUGUCCAAUUAGCAUCACACAUACAUACGAUGUCACAGAUGCAUCCAUACAUUUCACACUUGACUACAGAGUACUAUCAUGUGCUGUCUCCUUAAAGCAAAGGCCACAAGUUAAAACCAUUUUGUACAAUAGGCAAGAAUGGCUGGGUUUGCCUUGUAGAUCAAGGCCACAUGCACACAAUGUUUUCAUUUUAACACCAGUCUUGGAUAAGACUUGCAUCAGCAAUAUCCAGGAGGAAGCCAGGCUUGUGAACAGAAUUUCUACAUGGAACCCCAAGUCCCUCAGCUUGCCCAGCCAAGGUGCCAGUUCUGACCCAUGGGCAGCCUUGCCUAUUGGCUGAGAUGCCACAUGAAGCCUACAAUCACGCUGAGGCUAACUUGUUUGUCAAGUGUCUUCUUCGCUUCCCCACAGUACAGGUACUUUCAGAGUCUAUCGUCAAAAGCAUGCAGAUUCCUUUAGAGCACCUCGACACUGACAGCCUUCCACCAGCAUCAUCUGCUUGCUGGCAUCCCCUCACUAUGCCCGCCAGUGGAUUAGCUGAGUAAUCUGUUAUCUUGCACUUGAUUAAACCUCCAGUGUAUCAGUUCUUAAUUAAUGGAAGUCGAUUCCAUUUCUAAAAAUAAAAGCAGAAACACAGUGGAGCAUUCCACUCUGCUUGCUACAGGAUAUGCAUGAAUAUGGGAUUUUUUUCACUAAAUAAAUAUAUGAAAAUAAAGUCACAGAAUUGCAGGGGUUGGAAGGGACCUCAAGUGACCAUCAAGUCUAACCCCCUGAAAAAGUAGGUACCCCACAACAGGUCACACAGGUACUUGUCCGGGUGGGUCUUGAAUAUCUCCAUAGAAGGAGACUCCACAAGCUCUCUGGGCAGCUUGUUCCAGUGCUCCGUCAUCCUUACCAUAAAGAAUUUCUUCAGCAUGUUAGAACGGAACUUCUGUGUUCAAGUUUUAUGUCAUUGCUCCUUGUCCUAUAGCUUCGCACCACCAAGAAGAGCCUGGCCUUAUCCAUUUGUCUCCUACCUCCCUUUAAACAUUUACAUAUAUUCAUCAGAUUCCGCCCUCAGCCUUCUUUUUCCCAGGCUGAACAGACCCAGGGUACUCAAUCUUUAUCAUACACAAGAUGCAUAUUAUCAUCUUAGUAGCCAUCCACUGGACUCCUUCUAGGAGAUCCCUGUCUUUGUUUGAACUGGGGAGCCAAGAACUGGACACAGUAUUCUCAAUUGCUAUAGGCUGAAUAAACAUUACAGUUCCAAAGCAAACUAACAGCUUCUGAAUAUCACUGUAGCAUGGUGAUCUUACAUGUCAGAUGCACAUGAGGAAAAAUGGAUAGAAAGUGAACAAUGAUUCACAUGAUGAUAAUCAAUAAUAAUAGUAGCAGCAAAUAAUAAACAAUUCUUUUUUUUUUUUUAUAGGAGAUGGUUGGGAAGAACAUUAAUCAAGGCAUCUUUUCUACAGCUUAUCACAUCUUCUCUUGUGUAACUACACCAGUAAACAUUUUUGGCAGUGUCAGAUUAAUCCCAAUCUCCAUUUAUCUUAGCAUAGCAAUAGACAGUAUGGGGACAGACAUUUGUAAGGAAGCAAGUAGUGCUUCCCUCCUUUUGGAAUUUUAAGUCAUUUCUUCCACCUUGAAAUAAACAACUUCUCCAAAUAUUAAUCACCUCAAGUACGAUCACUGCUCAGCAAUAAUAAUGACACCAAUACUGCAGGACUCUAGCCAAAUGUAAACCGAACAGGAAAAAAAACACAACAAACAGAACAAAACAAAAUAACAACAAAAACAACAACAACAAAACAGAACAAAGAACAGUCAAAAUGACUAAUACCUAAAAUGAUGAGAGAAGUUGAAGACAUUCUGUAUUUAUCAGGGAAGAAGAAGCAUUGGUGCCCCACUUCUCCUGUAGGUCUUCAGAAAGACAAAGAACAAUUUUCAUAUUCUUACAUUCACAAUGAACAGACAAAAUUCAUAAAAAUAUGUGCAAAAUUCACGUUCUUAUUUUGUAUUGCUGAGUAUCUCUUAUAAGUUUCAUUUCUAGCAAUAUCACUGACUGUUCUCGACCAAACAGACUUGAAAUCCGGUCCCAGAAUUUUUCUACAUGAAUUCAGCUGGACUACUGGAAGAAAAAAAAGAUAGUACAACUGCUUAGUUUUUCAGGGCUAGGAUCCCAUUUACCUAAGGUUACCUAAGGAAGUAACAGAAAAGGAAAAGGGAGAAACCACAUACGAGGUAGUAAACAUGCUUAAAACUUUUUUGAUCCCUGUGGUUAAACCAAUCAACCAGAAUACACAGUUUCACUGACCAUCUCCUUACCCUUCGGUUUCUUCUGAAAUCAACGUAACAGAAUCACCUCAAGCAUACAAAAUAAAUAUAAAAAAAAUAAUCAAAUGACCAAUAAAAACUGCACACCUGCCUCAUCAUUAGUCAAAGGCAAUCUUGAUAGUGAGGAAUUUGGAUAACUGGAGAAGGGGGGAACAAGAUGGUAGCUUAAAUUUAGGUAAGUUUUAAACAUUCUAGAGUAUAAGAAAAAACAAAUAUAAAUCAACCCUGAAGUUGUAAUAAUUAAGAAAAACAAAAAGAAAUUUCAGUAAAAAUGAGUACAAAGCGUCAUGCAUAAAUGACAAUAGUGAAGAUAGGGCAAAGUAGUAUUCCGCACAAGACUCCACCUACUCUUAACUCCUUUUAAACCCAACAAACCUCAGCCAAAAUACUGCCUCCAUCUGGCACUAGGCGCCUCACUAUAAAGAAUAAAGACUAACUAGAAGUGUAGAGAAUAUCAAUGGGAAGGAAGUUUGCAAAAAAAAAAAAAAAAAGUUGAAGGAGUUAGUUUAGGAACUUCAGAAAAGAUAAGGCCAAAUGGCACAACAAGAGAUUCCCAAAUAUGUAACAAGUUGUUCUUAGCUCAUAGUAAGUAAUCUGUCUCUGCUGGGGUAGAGAGGAAUUAAAUAUUGCAUACUAGUGCGAUGUGGGGAGGAAUAAUCCUUGCUUAGCCAUAAGAGAAACUUUCUUUAACCACUUGGUUUCAAAAAUAUGUCAGCAAUGUGUCUUGUAUAUUUGUUUCAGAGCACAUAAUUAGAUAAUUUUAUGGUCUGAAAACCAUUUUAGGUCAAUCUUUCAAAGAAUUCUAAUAACAUACAGAAAAUGUUGUUCCUAUUAUACAGCAACAUUUGAAUGGAAAUGAACUUGUAACAGUAGUGACAUGCAAGUUAUGAAACUAAAUAAUACCCAAGAUUAAAUAACUUUUUGUAUACCUAUAAGAACAGAAAGUGUUCUUACAUGAAUAUAUUCUAAAUUAAUGUGUGCCGGAGGAGAAAAUCACUGAAGAACUUUAGCAUUGUUGGCAGUAGUUGACAUGCAGGUGUGAUUGAUGUCUGCCUUUCCUCCAAGGAUGAGUGGAAAGCUGGCAAAUGCCACAUAUACAUAAUGCUUUGAAUUUUAAGCCAAAUUGGUUUUCAGACAUCGUACUUGACAUUUCCCCUUCAUACUUCAAAUUAUUCCUUGGUACAAAUUGCAUGUUUAUAUGUGUUUUGCUGUACCGUCUGGUUUGAUCAUAUCUCCUUUAGGCUUUCUUGAGGCAGCUGCAGUUAUAAAUAGGCCAAGAGCACUGCUUGUAGUAAAGAUGAAAUAGAGAUUACCUUUGCCAAAAAAAAAAAAAAAAAAAAAAAAGGAGAAAAGACAAGAAAAAGCUGAAACCUUUAGAUGAAGCCAUUAGCAGAACACUGCAUUUUUAUUUUUAUUCCACUUAUACUAAACUGCCACCCAGGCUUCUACUGUUUGCCUCUAUUAAGAGGCAGCAAAAUAAUAAAGGAGAUCUUUGGCCUUCCUGAUCUGUUUUAUGAAGUUGAAGUAACAAAGCCACAGGGAGGAAUUUUAGAGGGCUCAUUGGCAUACAGCUGGCCCUACUGCAGUGGCCUAAUAAGGUUCAGAAGGAUACAGACUGCGAGCUGAGGAACACAGACGCAAUUUGUGGACAUGAAAGAUGCCAGUGAAGGCUUUACUCAGGAUCUCCUGUGACGCUGCUGUGCUGCUGACUCUGGUUUGUCAUGCACCGUGCCUGUUCCUGAAUAAGAUAACCUGAUCUAUGCCUCAGGCCUUCCUUCUAUUUCAGUUUUUGUUUCAUCAAAACAGGGGGGAUGGGCAGAGAGAAAGAAAGAAAAAAAAAAAAGCAGAGUUUCUAAGUUUACAGGUCAUAUAUUCACUACCUGGAGACAUACACAAAGACUAAAGGAACAAGCGUGACAGCUAUGCUUAUUGUUUCAUUAAGGUCUGUAACUGCAAAUCCUGAGUCUGUGUUGCAACUACUUGGUGAGAUAAAGUCUAGCUGUGGAGUAGCAAAUUAGAAUUAGAAACUGGAAAGAUAUCUAAUGAUCAGCAAACAGACAGUUUGCUUAAACACUUAAGUAUAGCAUAUUGAUUUGCUCACUGCCAUAUUCAAGCAUAACUAAAAAGAUAAAAUCCUGAGUAAAGAAGGUAGAACUCCAGAUAUCGAUCCCCCGACUCAUAUUGAUAAGUGCAAGUUAAAAUGUAAAUAUAAACGGAGCCUCGAGUUUCACCUCAAAUAAAACCCUCAGGCAUGCUGAGGAAAUUUGAACGGUGAAGAUCUGCCAACAGGCAUAACAGUUUGCUGAACUGUAGCACUCCAAUUAGAAAGAUAAAGAUGCAGAGGUAGUAGCUGUAAAACACUCAGUUUCACAACCUUGGCCCUCUCUUUUCCUUCACAGAAAAACAAGAGGCAGCUGUCUGGCUCUGUUAGGUUAGCAGCUGCACGUCCUUCAGCAGUGGAGUUUAAAACAUCUAAAAGAACCUCAAAAUGGACGCAGGUCCUUCUGUUCAAAUCCUGGGACAGAAAAGUAUCAGCGCUCCACAAAUCGCUCAUUUUAACACCAAGCUGCCUCGCAUCAACUUAUUUUAUAGUCAUCAAGUUCAGCGUUAUCGGUGAAUGUUUCAUAAAAUGUCCUGAACCCAGAAUCACCUCUGAAGCAUUAAGCUGACCCGGGGUUUUUUAAAAUUAUAUUCACAGCACUGAUUAUGGUGCAAGCUGUGUAACUUCCUGGCCUGGAGCUACACCUUUGACAUGAAUACAAUAAAUUUGUGUUAAGAAUACAAAAGGAGAGAUAACCAAGUUUCCCAUUCACAACUCUAGCAAGUAGUGCGAUUUCCAGAAGUUGAUUGAUGCACUGAACUCUCAUUUAUUUUCAGGGCAAUUUUACUUGUUAAGAGCUGAUAGGAGUGCUCACUAUUCUAGAUUCUAUUAAAUGCAGAAUAAAAAAGGCCACAGCACUUCAGGUCUGAAGCUCCAACACAUCAUAUUCUUUGACACCAUUCUGUUCAAAACAAGUUCAAACAAAACUGCCCUAAGCUACAGUACAGUAAUCAUUAAAACUAAAUCUAAGUUAAUAUCGAAUGCUGUUAACUUUCAUAGCAGUGCUAGUCAAGAAACACCCUGAUGGGAAGCUGACAAUUUUAGCUGUUAUUAUCAUCUUCUUUCUCAGAACCAGCUGGAUGCUUUAAAGGUGGAAUUGUAUAUUUUCCAUGUUUCGAUAUCAUAUCUUAGCACAAAGGCAUAUCUACACAAAUGCAAGCUGGUCUGUGCACUUCUGUUUAUCUCUUCAACUUGUAAUGAAUCUUUCAUUUUAAUCUAGGACUUAUCAGAAAACAUUAACUCACCAAAACUUCUAAUUGAAUCAUCUGUCAAAGAUUCCAAAAGAAGCAUCAUACAAAAGCACUAUAUACUUCAGGCCCUUUAAUCCCCUGCUUUCUCUGCCACCAGGCUCCUUUCAUAUUCACCUUGGGACUUCGGAGAAGGGCACAGAAUCAUAAAAUCACAGAAUCCUUAGAGUUGUAAGGGACCUUUAAGGCCAUCUAGUCCAACUCCUCUGAAAUGAACAGAGACACCACAGCUACAUCAGGUUGCCCAGGGCCUUAUCCACUCUCUCCUUGAAAGUCUCCAGGGACAGGGCAUCCACCACAUCACGGGGCAACCUGUUUCAGUGCCUCACCACCCUCACUGUAAAAGACUUUUUCCUUAUAUCUAACCCAAAUCUACCCUCUUUAAGCUUAAAACCAUUUCCUCUUGCUCUAUCACAACAGUCUCUGUUCCUGUAGCUCCCCUUUAGAUACUGGAAGGCUGCUAUCAGGUCACCUCAGAGCCUUCUCUUCUCCAGGCUGAACAGCCUCAGCUCUCUCAGCCUGACAUCUCACGUUGAAAAGUUUUCAAAGCAUUCAGAUUCAAACCACCAAUAAACGAAAGAAACAGCAAGAGGAGAAUUACUGCCAACUUGUAUCACUUGAUAAAAUAAUACUUGCUGCACUUAAAUAAAAAAUAAAUCAAGCCAAAGACACAUUGUCCUGAAUUUGCUUAAUAAACAAGUUUAAAAAUUACUCUCAAUAUUGAUUCCAUCAGCAUCUGACUAUAGUAUAUACACACUAGUUUAUACCUACCAAUAAACAGUAAUGAUUUAGACAUCUUCACAUGCAAGACUGUUAUCAGUUCUGACUCUUUAAAAAAAAAAAAAGUGAAAUAAUUUUCUUUUAUAGGAACUAUAAGCAAGUGGCAUGCUAAUUUAUUAAUUCGUACACGUGUGAAAUGUAUGAUUACUAUGUGUUUUUUUUUUCCUAAAAGUAGAGACAUAACAGAAAUAAGGUGUAGUAUUUAAAAUAUUUACCUGUUAUUUUCAUGGGAGUUAAAACAGGUUAGAAAUAGGCAGGUUCGGGCAUUUUGAAUUACAAGUGCUGAAUUUUUAAUGUAUGGAAAUCUGAAUAUUUGCUCUCUAUGGAAAAGCUUAGCUAAUGAGUUGCCAACAGCCAUUUUCUUGCCCUGGAAGAAAACCUGAGGCAUUUACAUAGCUCUUAUUUGUUCUUUAUUUAGGCAGACUUGCUGACUUCAGUGGGAACUUAGCAGUGCAAGAUCUGGAAGUAAAAAUUGAAUGAAGACAUUAACAUCUGUUCACCUGGAAAGAGUACCUGGAUUUUUUUUUGGCUUACUUUAUACCCAGUGCUGAAUAAAACAGGCAAUGGCAUGGUUAUUCACAGAAUAUUGUGAAAUGGAUCAUUUUGAACAACCCACUAGAGAGAUUAAGAAUAGAGGAGAUACCUGAUUUUCUGAACUAUACAUUGAAAUUCCAUCUUUGAAUAGUAGCAGUCAAGCAGAGCUUCAGCUGCAUAAAAGGGGACUACACAAAUGCUUCUAGCAUACUUAAAAGCCUCUUUGUUAUACUGAAGAGACAAACUUAAUAUAAACUAUAAAAUGAACCUCAUUAUACAAUGCUGAGACUCCUACCGAAGCAAUAUCAUGACAGUACCUUAUAAGCUUUGUGCUGAACGAGUGUACUGUUUUUGCCCUCAUUUCUCCUGUCUUCCUGUAAGGCUGAAAAUUACCUAUUUUGGCCUCGUCUCAUACCAUAGCUUUCACUUGGUUAUGGGUUCUCAGGAGCACACUUUGGACUAGUGUUUUACAGAGACAUAUGGUACAGAUGUUCUGUGAAUCCUUCUAGACUAAAUGUCUAUUUACAUCAGUUGCCUGUUAUGCUAACACAGUAGACUAAAUGACUUGUCCUUAAUCUGUAUUCUUAGGGAAAAACCUUUAGCUUUAAAUGCUCUGUCCUACUAUUCUCUGCUAUGGAUGCUCCAAAUUCUUUCUCCUCACUCAAAUGGGCUUUAGGAUGCAAUUCUCCAAAAAUGAUAGUAACAAAAUGUCAUGACUUUAAAUCUCCCAAGAAUCAUUUCUCAUGUAGCUUGCUCUGAAAGUAAUCCCUUCUAUUUAUUAACAUAGAAAUUGCAACAGAUACAAAGAGCACAGCAACAUCAUUUGAUAGAGCAAAUUCUCCGCUACAAAACACUAUUUUUCAGCAUCAUCACCACCACUAUGGAUUUUCACCAGCCUGCAUGCCACGCUCACAGAAAUCUGCACCAACAGAGAUAACCCACUGUUUCACAGCUGCUACUACAGCAUCACUGCUAGGAAGAUGUUGCCCACACAGUCCACACAGUUCAUUAGGCCAAACAGAUAGAAAGCAUCAAAUCCAGACGGCAUAGUGGGUGUGGUAGGACACACUGGCAAUGUGCUCCACAGUCUUUAAACUGAUAUGGGACCUGGUGUUAUGUGUUACAAGAACAAGAUUUUCUUUUUUGGCCUGACACAAGAAGUUUGAGACUUCAGUGUAGUCAGCACCACAGUGUAGCAGUCAGGGUUGAUGGCUUGUCUGGGUUCCAGGAAAUCUAGAAGAAUCUCUCUGUUAAUAUCCCAUAAGACACUGCACAAUACUUUACUCACUGAGUAAAGUAUCUUGAACAUUUUCAGUGGAGAAUUAACAUUUCAUCACUCCAUGGACUGCCAUUUUGACUCUGGCUCAUAGUGGUGACAUUACACCUUAUCUCUCAUCCAGAAAACUGUCACCUUCAGCCUCAUAUUUGUUCAGUAGGUUCUGACAUACAGUGUUGCAUACGGUGUUCUUUCUCCUCUUACGUGAGCAUUCAUGGGGCCCACUUGGUGCAAACUAAUAUUCCAAGAUGGUCACCAUCGUUUUCAAUGCACCAAAGCUGAUAUUCAGCUCUAUACACAUAUCCCUGCUUGUAAUCCAUCAAUUUGCCUGGAUGAGCUGAUUGAGACACUCUCCAUUUUGCGGCGUGACAGCUGGGCAUGGUCAUACAGAACGUGGCCAUUGCCUCAUUGUACUAACACCCACCUUUUAGUUUCUAUAAACAUUCAGUAAGAGUUAAUGCAUGUUAAUAGGUGCAGUCUUUUCUGCAUGUAGGAAUAAAGUGACACACCUAUGCUUCAUAUGCACUUCCAUGUCAGAUGCCAAUUUGUCAGACUGCCCCUCUGCUGCCACCUGUUACACAGCAGUAAAAUGGAAUGAAAUACUCGCAGGAAGGGUCAGUCUCUAGUGCCAUACCAUUAACAUCUGCUUCUGAUGUUGUGGGCCAACAUCAUAAAAUAGGAGGGCAUUUCUUCUGGAGCAGUCCUCAUAGUUUUUGUUUACUUUUCCAUGCAUUGGAGGAAGUUACAGUGACACCUGAGACCUUUAAGUAAUAAAUGCUCCUGACUAGCACAGAAACAACCAACUCCACACAUACAAGAGGAGUACACAAAGAAAGUUGAAAUAAGUUUCUUUAUCUCACUGAAGUAAUGACUAGAUUUUGAAACAAGAAUUCCAUACAAAAGAAGGAUAGUAGCUUAAGCCUUUGAAGGCAAAAAAAAAAAGUCUGAUUUCUCCAUAGGAAGAUCUGAGAUAUUUCUGCAUCUGCUUCUGUUUCUUUAUUUGAUCAGGUAUUUUCAUUAUAUUAAAGGUAUUAAGCAUUCAUAAAUACAAAUAAAAGCAUUCUUAUAAAGCAGCCAAGCAAUGGCUUCCUUUGCAACCAAGAACAACUCUGAUUCUUUUCUCCCCAAUCCCAUUUUGGUUUCUUGAACAUGAAUGUCUUCAGCCAUAAAAAAAACAACACCAAUAAUAAUAAUAAUAAAACACAUAGUAAUUGAAAACUUACUGGCUAAUUUCCAUCAGCUUUGUAAAGUAUUUGUAUUUUAUAUUAUUCUCCUUCACUUGAUUCUUUUGAGCAAGUCACAGAUGAUCAAUUACUCAUUUUCUCAACCAUUAAUAAAAAUCAGGCCUUAAAUCUGAGAAAUCGCUAAGCCCUUAAAACUUCAAAGUUUGACAGCCUGAACUUCCUAUGUCAAAUGGUUAUGAGCACACUUCCAUGUCUCCACAGAUUUUAUAGCACUACUCUUGUGCAUUCUUAAUCUGAAAUCACUUUCUGCCUGAGGCUAGAACACAAAACGUAUCUUCCCAACAGAUGCAAACCUAGUUGUCAUCUAACUUACAUUAAAUGCCAUCUAAGUUAUAGUAUGUUUGUAUGUCUCUCUAUGUCAGUUGAUAGAAAUAAAAAGAAAAGUGCUCUUGGUCUACUCCAUUUAGCCAGAAAAUCCACCAAUAAAAAGGAAUAAAAAUCAGCAGAAUAUCCAAGCUGAUAAUUACUUAGUCUGCUAACAGACUCCAUUCUCAUAUUAUAAAAAUCACCUAAUACAGUGCCGGGACUAUGAACUAUCCAAACAAAAAAGAUAAUCGGCCACGGAUCAAGGAGAAUAUUUCAUGAAAUGUAGAGCUAUAAGGAUGUAAUAAAAUUGAAGCAAUACUCUAAUGAAUAUGUACUAAAUCAAAUAGAAAGGCAUUUGUGAUUUUUUUUGAAUUUAGGAAGAGAAUUAUAGUACAGUUGAGAAAGUGAUGGCAGCACUUCCUGCAGAUAUGCCUAGCUAUCUCAUCAAGCUAUCUAACCUUUUUGUUGGUUUGUUUUUGCCAGUGUGAUCAAAUACUUUGCACAAGAGAUUACAAGAUUGAGCCAAAACACACAGCAGUAUUAGAGGACUAUUGCAUUUCCUGUAGUUGAUUUUAUUUUAUUUUUUUUUAACUGGUAGCUGGAAUUCUUAAAAGAUGCACUCUCAUUACCCACUUCAUAGACAGACUUGAGCUCUUCCUGAUCAUAUAUGGUCACUCUACACUGGUAGUCAAGUUCUGCUAUAUACAGUUAUAAGAAAAUAGGUCUUAAAGGGAAGCCAAAGACCUUAUAGUCCAUCUCCAUAUGUUUCUUAGUGGAUUAAAUGGUUCCUAGUAUAACUUGCCAUUUAUUUGUGAAACCUAUACGAAAGAAACUCAGUAAGCAGAGUGACUGGGGUUUUUCUUGUUGUUUUGUUGGUUUGGAUUUUGUAUUUUAAAGCAUCAAAUCCUUCUAGCUAAUAAAAUCCAUAACUGAUUCUCAGGGCUAUCAGAAUAUCACCAACCCAACUUUUUUUUUUUUUUUUUUUUUUUUUUUUUUUUUUUUUUUUUUUUUUUUUGUGACUUACCAAAACACAGUUGGAAUUAUCUUCCUUUUCACAGUUCAGGUGAAACUCCAUCACUUCAACACUACAGAAAGGUACUCGUGCUUCCUUGAACAUAAGAAAACAAUUCAGCCCUGCUCAGUUCAUCAUCAAAACGGACAAUGUUCUGCAACACUGAAAGGAUGCAAAGUUACUCGACAAGUGACAAUGCUAUGCUCACCAGACCAGGUGGGCUGUUUGUCUUUGCAUAGUAAAUAACAUUACAUGUUCUAACUUUAGUCUAUUAUGAACCCAACUUAGGAAAAAUAAAUAAAUCUAUUGUUUUUUUCUGAGUUCAUGCAUUGUCUGCUUCUGCCUGGAUCUAGAAAAGUGCUUCUGUUCAGCUUCCAUUCAUUUCUUGUAUUUGUCAAGUUCAACCUAAUUCAUUUCUUGGUAGUCAUCUUACAGCCCCUGUCAUCAUUCUUUCACCAACUAUGGAAAGUAAUACUCUCCAACAAGUGUCAGAAUAGCUAUUUCAGUUUAAUAAUGGAAAGUUGGUUACAUCUAGUACCCUUAAGGAGAUAAAAACAUAAAAACACUGCAUAAGCAGUGCAAUACCUCUGAUACUUGGAGACCAAUUUCUGUAUCACACUGGAUUUGUGAACUACUAGAGCAUUAUCAAGUUAUUAUCUGGACAACAGCAAAAGUAGCAUUUAAAGCACUUCUCAGUUCCUUGGAUAUCCAUUGUGGAUGGCUGAACUGGGAACUUAAAGACGAAGAUGUAAUAGGUUGCAUCUCUUUCUUCCAUCACUUGUCUUUUUUCUCAUCUUUGAGAUGGGAGAGAGAGCAGGAAGUGAUUUUCGCUUGUUCUACUUCUUCCUAUUCCAUCCUCUCAUGGGGCACCCACUUCAAAAUAAAUGUUUCUUGUGGGGAACUUUGGAAAACCACUCUUUCACAGUUAUGAGAGCAACUACAGUGCAUUAUCCUCUCAGGUUUUGGUUUUCACUUUCUGGCCACAUCAGAAUUCCUUACUACUAAUCAUGUUUUACUUUCUGCAGCUCUCUAUUUACCAAGUUAUGGAAUACAAUUGCAGCACCCAUGUAGUUGUUCACAUGUACCAGAAGGGUUGGUCCCUCAUACUUCUUG